AGGUGGGAGACCAAUUUGGCUGUGACAUCUGUCGCCACGUGGAUCGCCAGCAUUGGUUGGGCUGAUGUGGUGGGCUAGGCAAUGUGUUCUCUCCCUCCCUCCCCCCUCCACUUCCGCUCCUCGGCAAACUGUGAGAGAAACUGAGAAAUGGUCAUGUUCCGCAGUAAAGGACCUCUCUUCCAUCAAGGGCGUAGAACUAGCUCUGCCGCCCCGCUCCAAACUCUCUCAGAACACGUGCUUACCACGUGAGAGUUGCAGGUGGGCAAACAAGGCUAAAGAACCCAGUACCCUUGUGGGUCAACAGAANCAGCCCCACAAG
rnacentral:snRNA from 1 species